rnacentral:rRNA from 1 species
ACGAACGCUGGCGGCGUGCCUAAUACAUGCAAGUCGAGCGGACUGAUUAAGAGCUUGCUCUUAUGACGUUAGCGGCGGACGGGUGAGUAACACGUGGGCAACCUGCCCUGUAGAUCGGGAUAACACCGAGAAAUCGGUGCUAAUACCGGGUAAUAUCUGAGAUCACAUGAUCUUAGGUUAAAAGAUGGCUCCGGCUAUCACUACAGGAUGGGCCCGCGGCGCAUUAGCUAGUUGGUAAGGUAAUGGCUUACCAAGGCGGCGAUGCGUAGCCGACCUGAGAGGGUGAUCGGCCACACUGGGACUGAGACACGGCCCAGACUCCUACGGGAGGCAGCAGUAGGGAAUCUUCCGCAAUGGACGAAAGUCUGACGGAGCAACGCCGCGUGAGUGAUGAAGGGUUUCGGCUCGUAAAGCUCUGUUGUUAGGGAAGAAACAGUACCGAACGAACUAGGUCGGUACCUUGACGGUACCUAACCAGAAAGCCACGGCUAACUACGUG